GCGUCACGGCAGGGGUGGGGCGGAGGCUGAGGGCCUAGGCUACUAGGAAGCAAGAAGGUCCCAAACCCCGGCCCACCUGUUGAAGAAAUUCCUACUCUGACACCUAGUUGAUCAAGAGAUUUUUGCUGUUGUUGUUUUGGUGGCCUGUUGUACAUAGACACCAAUAGUUUUCAGAACUGAAUAUCUGAAUAUCCUGGAGACUACAGGGAAGGUUUUGGUCUCUCCUAGAGUUUCUUUGCGGCCAAACAUGGUUUCCAGGAACCGAGUGUCCAGAAGGCUAAGGAGAGGCUUCAUCCAGUAACUGAUGGAAACAAAUGCAGAGACUCACAAUCAAACAUUAGACCGAGCUCGGGGAAUCCUGCUGAAGAGAGGGAGGAUUGUACAAGUCAGAGAGUUCAAGGACAUCACAGGAAAACCCACAAAAUCAACUAACCUGGGCUCACAGGAGCUCACAGAGUCUGAGCCAACAACCAGGGAGUUUGCAUGGGACUGACUCAGGCCCUCUACAUAUAUGUGACACUUGUGUAGCUUCAUCUAUUUGUGGGACUCCUAACAGUGGGAUCAGGGGAAGCAGAUGUCCCCAAUGCUUUGGUUGGCUUUUGGGAACCUAUUCUUAUACUGGGUUGCCUUGCCCAGCCUUAAUACAUAGGGAGGAGAUUAGUCCUACCAAAACUUGAUAUACAUGAUUUGUUGAUAUCCAUGGGAGACCUGCCCUUUAUGGAUCAAAAACGGAAGAGUGAAUGGGGGGGGCAAGAGGGAGAUGGGGGCAGGGAAUGGGAAGAGAGGAGAGAGAGGAAACUGUGGUUGGGAUGUAAAAUAAAUUAAUUUAAUAUUUAAAAUGUAGGGGAUGCCAGGAAGUUUUAUAUUAUGUGAUUCAGUUUAACAUAGAGUACAUGUCAAAAAGAACUUGGGAGGGUUUAGGCACUGAUUUCUUAAUAAAUUAGGAGUUGCUGUUAGUCCGUA